rnacentral:rRNA from 1 species
CCUACGGGCGGUUGCAGUGGGGAAUAUUGGACAAUGGGCGAAAGCCUGAUCCAGCCAUGCCGCGUGUGUGAAGAAGGCCUUCGGGUUGUAAAGCACUUUCAGUGGGGAAGAAAGCCUUGGGGCUAAUACCCUCGAGGAAGGACAUCACCCACAGAAGAAGCACCGGCUAACUCCGUGCCAGCAGCCGCGGUAAUACGGAGGGUGCGAGCGUUAAUCGGAAUUACUGGGCGUAAAGCGCGCGUAGGCGGUCUGAUAAGCCGGUUGUGAAAGCCCCGGGCUCAACCUGGGAACGGCAUCCGGAACUGUCAGGCUAGAGUGCAGGAGAGGAAGGUAGAAUUCCCGGUGUAGCGGUGAAAUGCGUAGAGAUCGGGAGGAAUACCAGUGGCGAAGGCGGCCUUCUGGACUGACACUGACGCUGAGGUGCGAAAGCGUGGGUAGCAAACAGGAUUAGAUACCCUAGUAGUC